rnacentral:rRNA from 1 species
AUACCUCAAAUAAUGUGUGACUACCCC